GUUUGGCAGUUUGGCAGCACAUAUACUAAAAUUAGAAUGAUACAGAGAAGAUUAGCAUGGCCCCUGAGCAAGGAUGGCAUACAGAUUCAUGAAGGAUUCCAUACUUUU